UGUAUAAUGGGUCAGCGACUUAUAUUCUGUAGCAAGGUUAACCGAAUAGGGGAGCCGAAGGGAAACCGAGUCUUAACUGGGCGUUAAGUUGCAGGGUAUAGACCCGAAACCCGGUGAUCUAGCCAUGGGCAGGUUGAAGGUUGGGUAACACUAACUGGAGGACCGAACCGACUAAUGUUGAAAAAUUAGCGGAUGACUUGUGGCUGGGGGUGAAAGGCCAAUCAAACCGGGAGAUAGCUGGUUCUCCCCGAAAGCUAUUUAGGUAGCGCCUCGUGAAUUCAUCUCCGGGGGUAGAGCACUGUUUCGGCAAGGGGGUCAUCCCGACUUACCAACCCGAUGCAAACUGCGAAUACCGGAGAAUGUUAUCACGGGAGACACACGGCGGGUGCUAACGUCCGUCGUGAAGAGGGAAACAACCCAGACCGCCAGCUAAGGUCCCAAAGUCAUGGUUAAGUGGGAAACGAUGUGGGAAGGCCCAGACAGCCAGGAUGUUGGCUUAGAAGCAGCCAUCAUUUAAAGAAAGCGUAAUAGCUCACUGGUCGAGUCGGCCUGCGCGGAAGAUGUAACGGGGCUAAACCAUGCACCGAAGCUGCGGCAGCGACACUAUGUGUUGUUGGGUAGGGGAGCGUUCUGUAAGCCUGUGAAGGUGGCCUGUGAGGGUUGCUGGAGG
rnacentral:rRNA from 1 species